AUUGAACGCUGGCGGCAUGCCUUACACAUGCAAGUCGAACGAGUGGCGAACGGGUGAGUACUACAUCGGAACGUGCCCUGUAGUGGGGGAUAACUAGUCGAAAGCCUAGCUAAUACCGCAUACUAUAGGAGCGGCCGAUGUCUGAGUAGCUAGUUGGUGGGGUAAAGGCCUACCAAGGCGACGAUCAGUAGCUGGUCUGAGAGGACGAUCAGCCACACGGGGACGGAGACACGGCCAAGACUCCUACGGGAGGAAGCAGUGGGGAAGUGGGGACAAUGGGGGCAACCCUGAGCCAGAAAUGCAGAGGGUGUGAAGAAGGCCUGCGGGUUGUAAAGCACGUUUGUACGGGAAGCGGUACCGGAAGAAUAAGGACAGGCUAACUACGUGCCAGCAGACGCGGUAAUAC
rnacentral:rRNA from 1 species